rnacentral:rRNA from 1 species
UACAGAGGGUGCAAGCGUUGCUCGGAAUUAUUGGGCGUAAAGGGUAGGUAGGUGGUCUCAUUUGUCCGAGGUGAAAUCCUGGGGCUUAACUUCAGAAGUGCCUUGGAAACGGUGAGACUAGAGUGCUGGAGAGGGUCGUGGAAUUCCCGGUGUAGCGGUGAAAUGCGUAGAGAUCGGGAGGAACACCGAUGGCGAAGGCAGUUCUCUGGGCCGUAACUGACGCUGAGGAGCGAAAGCGUGGGGAGCGAACAGG